rnacentral:rRNA from 1 species
CCCUUAGAUGUUCUGGGCUGCACGCGCGCUACACUGAUGCAUUCAACGAGUCUAUCCUUGACCGACAGGUCCGGGUAAUCUUUGAAUCUGCAUCGUGACGGGGAUAGAUUAUUGCAAUUAUUAAUCUUCAACGAGGAAUGCCUAGUAGGCGCAAGUCAUCAGCUUGCGUCGAUUACGUCCCUGCCCUUUGUACACACCGCCCGUCGCUCCUACCGAUUGGGUGUGCUGGUGAAAUGUUCGGAUCGGCCGUUUGUCGCGGUUUCCGCGUCAUGUGGCUGAGAAGUUCAUUAAACCCUCCCACCUAGAGGAAGGAGAAGUCGUAACA